rnacentral:rRNA from 1 species
AUUGAACGCUGGCGGCAGGCCUAACACAUGCAAGUCGAGCGGAUGAAGGGAGCUUGCUCCUGGAUUCAGCGGCGGACGGGUGAGUAAUGCCUAGGAAUCUGCCUGGUAGUGGGGGAUAACGUCCGGAAACGGGCGCUAAUACCGCAUACGUCCUGAGGGAGAAAGUGGGGGAUCUUCGGACCUCACGCUAUCAGAUGAGCCUAGGUCGGAUUAGCUAGUUGGUGGGGUAAAGGCCUACCAAGGCGACGAUCCGUAACUGGUCUGAGAGGAUGAUCAGUCACACUGGAACUGAGACACGGUCCAGACUCCUACGAAAGGCAGCAGUGGGGAAUAUUGGACAAUGGGCGAAAGCCUGAUCCAGCCAUGCCGCGUGUGUGAAGAAGGUCUUCGGAUUGUAAAGCACUUUAAGUUGGGAGGAAGGGCAGUAAGUUAAUACCUUGCUGUUUUGACGUUACCAACAGAAUAAGCACCGGCUAACUUCGUG